CAGCAGCCACGGUAAUACGUAGGUGGCAAGCGUUGUCCGGAAUUAUUGGGCGUAAAGGGCUCGCAGGCGGUUUCUUAAGUCUGAUGUGAAAGCCCCCGGCUCAACCGGGGAGGGUCAUCGGAAACUGGGAAACUUGAGUGCAGAAGAGGAGAGUGGAAUUCCACGUGUAGCGGUGAAAUGCGUAGAGAUGUGGAGGAACACCAGUGGCGAAGGCGACUCUCUGGUCUGUAACUGACGCUGAGGAGCGAAAGCGUGGGGAGCGAACAGGAUUAGAUACCCCGGUAGUCCCUGUCUCUUAUAC
rnacentral:rRNA from 1 species